rnacentral:rRNA from 1 species
GUCUGUGGCCAUGCUACCCUGAACACACCCAAUCUCGUCUGAUCUCAGAAGCUAAGCAGGGUAAGGCUUGGUUACUACUGGGAGACCAGCGGGUGCUGUAGGCU